GGUUUUCCAUGUGUAAGAGC
rnacentral:miRNA from 1 species